UACGUAGGGUGCAAGCGUUAAUCGGAAUUACUGGGCGUAAAGCGUGCGCAGGCGGUUGUGCAAGACCGAUGUGAAAUCCCCGGGCUCAACCUGGGAAUGGCAUUGGUGACUGCACGGCUAGAGUGUGUCAGAGGGGGGUAGAAUUCCACGUGUAGCAGUGAAAUGCGUAGAGAUGUGGAGGAACACCGAUGGCGAAGGCAAUCCCCUGGGCCUGCACUGACGCUCAUGCACGAAAGCGUGGGGAGCAAACAGG
rnacentral:rRNA from 1 species